rnacentral:rRNA from 1 species
UACGAAGGGGACUAGCGUUGUUCGGAAUUACUGGGCGUAAAGCGCGCGUAGGCGGAUCGCUAAGUCAGGGGUGAAAUCCCAGGGCUCAACCCUGGAACUGCCUUUGAUACUGACGAUCUGGAGAUCGGGAGAGGUUGGUGGAAUUCCGAGUGUAGAGGUGAAAUUCGUAGAUAUUCGGAGGAACACCAGAAGCGAAGGCGGCCAACUGGCCCGAUACUGACGCUGAGGCACGAAAGCGUGGGGAGCAAACAGG